rnacentral:rRNA from 1 species
GACGAACGCUGGCGGCGUGCUUAACACAUGCAAGUCGAACGGAAAGGCCCUGCUUGCAGGGUACUCGAGUGGCGAACGGGUGAGUAACACGUGGGUGAUCUGCCCUGCACUUCGGGAUAAGCUUGGGAAACUGGGUCUAAUACCGGAUAGGAGCCAUCUUUAGUGUGGUGGUUGGAAAGUUUUUUCGGUGUAGGAUGAGCUCGCGGCCUAUCAGCUUGUUGGUGGGGUAAUGGCCUACCAAGGCGGCGACGGGUAGCCGGCCUGAGAGGGUGUACGGCCACAUUGGGACUGAGAUACGGCCCAGACUCCGACGGGAGGCAGCAGUGGGGAAUAUUGCACAAUGGGCGCAAGCCUGAUGCAGCGACGCCGCGUGGGGGAUGAAGGCCUUCGGGUUGUAAACUCCUUUCGCUAGGGACGAAGCUUUGUUGUGACGGUACCUAGAUAAGAAGCACCGGCUAACUACGUG